rnacentral:rRNA from 1 species
UCCAGGAAAAUCUUCUAAGCUUCAGGCUAUUCGAGACCGUACCCCAAACCGACACAGGUGGUCAGGUAGAGAAUACCAAGGCGCUUGAGAGAACUCGGGUAAAGGAACUAGGCAAAAUGGUGCCGUAACUUCGGGAGAAGGCACGCUGGUGGUAGGUGAGACCCCUUGCGGGUGGAGCUGACGCCAGUCGAACAUACCAGGCCCCUGCGACUGUUUAUUAAAAACACAGCACUCUGCAAACUCGUAAGAGGACGUAUAGGGUGUGACACCUCCCCGGUGCCGGAAGUUUAAUUGAUGGUGUUAAUUUUCGGACAAAGCUCUUGAUCGAAGCCCCGGUAAACGG